ensembl:lncRNA
CCAACUCCCGCUGUGUCCGAGCCCUGGCUAAGAGAGAGGACCUGACAGGGUGGCAGAUAGAAGAUCUGGAUCCCCAUUUCCUCAACUCCAUGUUUCAAGGAAGGAGCAGAAACUCCCCCAGUGAGCUCUGCUGACCUGUGUUAGCACCCAGAAGGGACAGCAGAGGUGCGCGUGGCAGGGCAUGGAGUGUCUUGGAGUCUUACUCAGCACUUCUUUCUCCUCGCAGGCCCACUGCUGACACCACAGACACUGCUGGCACGCCUGUUGGUGGUGGCAGGGAGCCCUGUUGCAGACCGCAAACUCCAAGCCACUGCCUUACUGCUCAUGCAAAACCUCCACAGCAGGAUCCACAGAGCUGUGGGGGCCAUGUGGGCUGCUGAGAUCCCCCUGCUGCUACAGUGUCUCCAAGUUCCUGAGGGCGUUGCUGGAGACCAUGGAGGAUGAGGCCUGGACCAAGGCCCUGAGCUGUGAGCUGAGCCAGUGGCUGAGCAGCUCUCCCAGCAGCUCUGGAGAAAAGAACUUGCUGAAGAAGUAUUUCUUGGGCAACCCCGUCUCCCCAGUGCCCCUCAAGGUGGUUCUGGCCCUGGAGCAGUUGAGGUAAGGGCCAGAAUGCAGAGAUUAAAAUCUCUUCCUGAAUCGGCUGAGAGAUGAUAUAAAUACAGCCUUUCUACUACUCUUCUAGGAUGCAAUGUGAAAGAUAAACCUCUGAAAGUGCCUAAGCACCUCUCUGUAUUGGCAGUAUACAGAAGAAACCUGGCAUUACAGAACUGUUGUGGUUUAACCUGGUAAUCAGCUCAGCACCACACCGCCAUUCAUUCACUCACUUCCAUUCCCAGUGGGAUGUUGGAGAGAAUACUGAUGGAUAUUAGGAAGAAGUUUUUCACAAAGAGGGUGGUGAGACACUGGAACGGGUUGCCCAAGGUUGUGGAUGCCCCAUCCCCAGAGACAUUCAACGGGCAGGCUGGAUGUGGCUCUGGGCACAUAGCAGGGGGGUUGAAACUAGAUAAUCUUUGAGGUUCUUUUUAACCCAGGCCAUUCUGAUUCUAUGAUUCUAAGGUUCCAUGAAAACAUUGUUUUUCUCCUAAAGCCAGAACACAGCACUAUACCAGACGCGAUGAAGAAAAUCAACUCUGUCCCAGCUAAAACCAGGACAAGCACUACAACAUUCUCAGAAACAAGUCUAUAUUCCAGGUCACCAUAAAGAGUCUUGCCAAGUACUUUGUACAUAUUUUUACAAGGAAAGGGAUCAGAAGUUUAUUAAUGUGUUCGUGAAAGUUGGAUGUAUUCUUGCUUUUGUUACCAUUUUAAUCACAUUUCUUUAAAAACCUUAAAGAGAAUAAAGAUUCAAAUUCUCCCUGCUAGUAAAACAAACAAACAGGUCUCGUAACUUCAUUUUAGGAAGUAUAUUUGGAAGGCUGGCUGUCAAUCUAGGGAAAAAAUAAUGGAUUUAUAUCCAACAAAGCAACUAUUGGAGUCUGGAAAAUAAAAUAAAAUAAACAGCAACAACAAAAUCAACAAAAAAAGAAUUAAAAGAUUAAAUCACUAUCUAAAUAUCUAAAUAGACAAAUAUCUAUUAAAAUUAUAAUUUUUACAACAAUGAUUUUGUCUUAAAUAUAGUUUUACAUCUAGCAGUUAAGCUUUAUGAUCAUAUUUCUUUAAAGUUUGCCAUUAAGUGAUCCUCAAGUGGAUCAGAGUCCUAUAUAAAUCCAGUCGAUGGGCACGAAAUGUUGAAUACUCUGUUACGAGAGGAGUCUUACUUACUGUGUUUUAAUGUCCAUCAGCACAGAGAACAACUCUGGUUUUAAUAUUGAGUUUGUCUGGAAUGACUGGAAUUCUGGUCAAAGGCUUUACUGAAAAAGAUAUAUAUAUAUAUAUAUAUUCCCUCUAAAUUAACCAAGAGAAACAAAAUUAGGAAAGCAUCUAUUUUUUAUCUGCCAGUAGUUGAAGUACUUCUCUGAAGCAUUUGGGCAUUGCAGCAAGACAGAAGGAUUUUGGACAUGAGUGGUACUCAUGGUUCGUGGGUCCUUCUGUCAGGCUAAGUGUGAAUCUCCCCCACCAAAUGCUGCCCAGGAAAUUCUCUCCUUCUCUCUGCACACACUGCAGCUAUCAGAAGUGACAAAAUUAUUAGUGUCACCUCUACACAAGUGAAAAUAGUUUCCUCUUGCUGAAUUGUGUCAAACACAGCAAACAGAUUUUGACUGAUCUCUAUUCUGCCUUCAUUCUUGAUUCUGAAAGAAAAGAAAAAGCACAGAUAUUAGCAAUUUUGAUUCAUUAGCAACCCUUAGAGAAAUCUCACCUGAUCUCCUAGAUACAGAAUGCUUUUUGCUAAGAAGAGAAAGACACCUUAUUUUUAAUAGAUAGCUCAGGGCUUGAAUUGCACUCAAAUGACUCUAAUAUCUGAGUAUUAAAAAAAAUAAAACAAAUAAAAAAAUCCUUAGUCUGAUAAAUGAUUUCUAUGAGGAGUUGCCCUUUCUCUGAAAUUCAUUCCUUUGGAACAAAUCCGUAUUUUGCAAGCAAUUAUAUGGUUGAUUUACUUCAGUUAAAAUCCAUUCCACUUUUUUUGAGGAAAAAAAAAAACAACAAAAAGGAAAACAAAACAAAAUAAAACCGUAGUACUGCUUUUUAUACUAUUAUUCAGGCAGUUUCCUAAAGUGGAGAUAUUAUAGAAGAACCAAGAAACUGCAAAAUGGGAUCAGAAUAUAGAUUGUUCAGAAAUCAUCAUGUUUAGCAUUUGCACAGAUUUUAUAAUCCUUGCCUAAAAAUGUCUGCUACAUACUAACAGUCCAUUCUUUCAGGUAAAUGGGCCAUUCAGCCCUCACAGGGGAAAAACUUAAUGUUUUAUAGUCAGAGAGAUGUUUUGAAACACGCACACAAUUGCCCCCAAUCCCUCAAAGAAAAACAGCAAACCAGCUUGCUGUCUUCCAAUUCCAUCAUCAACCUCAUUUUUUACUGACUGAAGUUGUAUUUUUGUAGAACUCUUUUUUUUAAUUAUUUUUUUAUUUUUAUUUUUACAUUAGUUUUAAAGGCAGUAUUAAGCUCUGUCUUUGUAAUAUUAUAGCUGUGUCUGUACUAGCAAAUUAAUGAAUGUAAUAGCUCAGAUUUGGGUAUUUUGACUUGAUCAUCUGUUGAUAGAGGAGUCUUGGCAGGCUCUUAAAUUAAGAAAACAAUGUUUUGGAGGUUCAGAAAUGAAUGCAUGCAAGGAACCAUUCCCAGUACUUAUUUUGCCUGCCACCAUUCUGUUUUGGAGACUAACAGAGCUUAAUUGUAUGGACACAGACCAUUUCAUGCCAGCUGGCCUUGCUGUGAGAGACUAGGUUUCAGCAUGUUUAAUUGAUUGCUUAGACUAGCAAACUUGUUAGACUAUAUCAGUGAAAAGAUUAAGACUAUCAUCUGAGUAAAAUAUUUCCUGGCUGAGGAUAAAACAAAACAAAACAAAACAAAAACCAACCCACAUAAGAAUGACUUUCUUCAAGAUUGGUUUUCUUUUCAGUGUGUCAAUAACAGAUUGAACCUUGUCAGACCUUUACAAAGAGUCUUGUUGAAGUAAAGAUGUCCCUUUUAAGAAGCAAAGUCUUUGAAAACACAAGGAAAUCCUAAAAGAGUAAAAGACUCUGCAUUCUUAUCCUCAGCAUGUGAGUUAAUAGAAGUCUUCUAAAAAUAAAAAUGUCUCCACAUCUCUAGUUUACCAUGACAGAUCUUAAACCUAAGUCUACAAGACUCAGUGAGAAAAUUCAUAAUAUAUGCGAUGCACAGAAACAUUGAAAGCAUGUCUAUCUCUGUCCCCAUGUCCCACAAAUGGUGUCUUUCUGUGCAG